ensembl:snRNA U6 U6 spliceosomal RNA
GUUCUUGCUUUGGUAGCACAUAUAUUAAAAUUGGAAUGAUACAAAGAUUAGCAAGGCUUCCGAACAAGGAUGAUACAAAUCUGUGAAGCAUUCCAUAUUUUA